rnacentral:rRNA from 1 species
ACGAAGGUGGCAAGCGUUAUUCGGAUUUACUGGGCGUACAGGGAGCGUAGGCGGUUCGGUAAGCCCUUUGUAAAAUCUCCAGGCUUAACCUGGAACAGUCGGAGGGGACUGCCGGGCUAGAGGACGGGAGAGGAGCGCGGAAUUCCCGGUGUAGCGGUGAAAUGCGUAGAGAUCGGGAGGAAGGCCGGUGGCGAAGGCGGCGCUCUGGAACGUUUCUGACGCUGAGGCUCGAAAGCGUGGGGAGCAAACAGGAUUAGAUACCCUGGUAGUCCACGCCUUAAACUAUGAAUACUAAGUGUCGGCGGGUUACCGCCGGUGCCGCAGCUAACGCAUUAAGUAUUCCGCCUGGGAAGUACGGCCGCAAGGUUG